UACGUAGGGUGCGAGCGUUAAUCGGAAUUACUGGGCGUAAAGCGUGCGCAGGCGGUUCGUUGUGUCGGCGGUGAAAGCCCCGGGCUCAACCUGGGAAUGGCCGUUGAAACUGGCGAACUGGAGUGUGGCAGAGGGGGGUGGAAUUCCGCGUGUAGCAGUGAAAUGCGUAGAGAUGCGGAGGAACACCGAUGGCGAAGGCAGCCCCCUGGGCUGACACUGACGCUCAGGCACGAAAGCGUGGGGAGCAAACAAG
rnacentral:rRNA from 1 species